rnacentral:rRNA from 1 species
ACCUACGGGUGAAAGCAGGGGGAUCUUCGGACCUUGCGCGAUUGAAUGAGCCGAUGUCGGAUUAGCUAGUUGGCGGGUAAAGGCCCACCAAGGCGACGAUCCGUAGCUGGUCUGAGAGGAUGAUCAGCCACACUGGAACUGAGACACGGUCCAGACUCCUACGGGAGGCAGCAGUGGGGAAUAUUGGACAAUGGGCGCAAGCCUGAUCCAGCCAUACCGCGUGGGUGAAGAAGGCCUUCGGGUUGUAAAGCCCUUUUGUUGGGAAAGAAAUCCAGCUGGCUAAUACCCGGUUGGGAUGACGGUACCCAAAGAAUAAGCACCGGCUAACUUCGUGC